rnacentral:rRNA from 1 species
GAUGAACGCUGGCGGCGUGCUUAACACAUGCAAGUCGAACAGUGAACGAGGGAGCUUGCUCCCUCCGGAUCAGUGGCGAACGGGUGAGUAACACGUGAGCAAUCUGCCCUGGACUCUGGGAUAAGCGUUGGAAACGACGUCUAAUACCGGAUACGAGGCGUGGGGGCAUCCCCAACGCCUGGAAAGAACUUCGGUCCAGGAUGAGCUCGCGGCCUAUCAGGUAGUUGGUGAGGUAACGGCUCACCAAGCCUACGACGGGUAGCCGGCCUGAGGGGGUGACCGGCCACACUGGGACUGAGACACGGCCCAGACUCCUACGGGAGGCAGCAGUGGGGAAUAUUGCACAAUGGGCGAAAGCCUGACGCAGCGACGCCGCGUGGGGGAGGAAGGCCUUCGGGUUGUAAACCUCUUUCAGGAGGGACGAAGCUACUCGGGUGAAUAGCCCAGAGGGUGACGGUACCUCCAGAAGAAGCCCCGGCUAAC